AUGGAGAUACUUAACUGUAAGGGCGUUCGUUUUAGCUUGACAGGCAUCAAUGGAACCAGGGCCAACCAGUUAGUAAAGGUUAGCCAAUCGAGUAUACAAAUUGCCCUCCAACCAUUCAAGAUAGGAUCCCAACCUCAACGAGUUGGCCGGGCAAGGUCAGUAACAUGCUGUGAGUACUCUCCUGAUCCUGCUAGCAAGAGGCAUGAGAGGUAUCAGCAACAACCACAAAAUGUUGAUCUCCCAGAAUUACACCCGAAGAACAAAAAGAAGCCAUUUCCUGUCCCAAUUAAAAAGAUGCUGCAAGCUUCCCGCAAAGAUAAGAGGCUUGCACAGAUGAGGAUAGAGAAGCCUCUUGAGCCCCCAAAGAACGGCUUGCUUUUACCAGAGCUUGUCCCUGUUGCCUACGAAGUCCUUGAGAACUGGAAAGUGCUCAUCAGAGGCAUCUCUCAACUUCUGAAUGUUGUUACAGUUUAUGGUUGCAGAAAAUGCCCUCAAGUCCAUGUUGGCCCAGUUGGCCACCAGAUACAAGAUUGCUAUGGUUCAGGAAGCCAGCGACGAAAUAGUCACCACUCUUGGGUCAGAGGAUCCAUCAACGAUGUGCUCAUCCCGAUCGAAUCUUACCAUCUUUUUGACCCAUUUGGGCGGAGGGUCAAGCAUGACACCAGGUUUGACUUCGACAGGAUUCCAGCAAUUGUUGAGCUAUGCAUUCAGGCUGGUGUCGACCUACCACAAUAUCCCACAAGGAGACGGACUGCUCCUGUGCGGAUGAUUGGCAAGAAGGUUAUUGACCGUGGCGGAGUUGUCGAUGAGCCUAAGCCACACCGAUUGGAGGACUGUAUAUCUCUUCUUGCUGAGCUUGACACAUUUAGCAACCAACAGGGACAGUCACCCGCGCCGGCCAAUGUGAAAGAGCAUGCAGAGAGGACACUGAAAGCAUACUGUGAUGUCCGGCGGGGUGUUACGCAGCUGAUGAGCAAGUAUACGGUAAAAGCAUGCGGGUACUGCUCUGAGGUCCACGUUGGUCCAUGGGGACACAAUGUGAAGCUCUGUGGGGCUUUCAAGCACCAAUGGCGAGACGGCAAGCACGGGUGGCAGGAUGCUGUUGUGGAUGAGGUCAUACCACCGAACUAUGUGUGGCAUGUCCCUGACCCCACUGGCCCUCCUCUCAGAUCCUCUCUAAGGAGUUUCUAUGGCAAAGCUCCGGCCGUGGUCGAGCUAUGUGUGCAGGCGGGAGCUGAAAUACCUGCAGAGUACCGGCCAAUGAUGAGGACUGAUAUCAUCAUCCCAGACCCCGAUGAAGCUUGGAUGGCUGCAUGA
rnacentral:rRNA from 1 species